rnacentral:rRNA from 1 species
AGAGUUUGAUCAUGGCUCAGAAUCAACGCUGGCGGCGUGCCUCAGACAUGCAAGUCGAACGCGAAAGUUCCCUUCGGGGGGCGAGUAGAGUGGCGCACGGGUGAGUAACACGUAGGUAAUCUACCUUUGGAUGGGGAAUAACAACCGGAAACGGUUGCUAAUACCGCAUAAUGCAGCGGCACCUAAUGGUGACAGUUGUUAAAGCGGGGGAUCGAAAGACCUCGCGUCUGAAGAGGAGCCUGCGGCGGAUUAGCUAGUUGGUAAGGUAAUGGCUUACCAAGGCGAUGAUCCGUAACCGGCCUGAGAGGGCGGUCGGUCACACUGACACUGACAUACGGGUCAGACUCCUACGGGAGGCAGCAGUCGGGAAUUUUGGGCAAUGGGCGAAAGCCUGACCCAGCAACGCCGCGUGAAGGAUGAAAUCCCUCGGGAUGUAAACUUCGCAAGAACAGGAAGAAUAAGUAAGGGUUAAUAUCUCUUACGAUGACGGUACUGUUUGUAAGCUCCGGCUAACUCCGUGCCAGCAGCCGCGGUAAUACGGGGGGAGCAAGCGUUGUUCGGAUUUACUGGGCGUAAAGGGCGCGUAGGCGGCCACUGCAAGUCGGUUGUGAAAUCUCCGGGCUUAACCCGGAAAGGUCAAUCGAUACUGCAGGGCUAGAGUGCAGAAGGGGCAACUGGAAUUCUCGGUGUAGCGGUGAAAUGCGUAGAUAUCGAGAGGAACACCUGCGGCGAAGGCGGGUUGCUGGGCUGACACUGACGCUGAAGCGCGAAAGCUAGGGGAGCGAACGGGAUUAGAUACCCCAGUAGUCC